AUGACCUACCUCAAGCAUCUACGAAGGUGCUGUGGUGAAGAUGCACGCCGCCUUUGGGCAUCUGGUAGCUGUCACUUAAAGAUGAGUUUUGACAGGUUGAAAACAGAAGAUCGUAAACUUGCAUACAUGAUAUGUAAUAACUAUGAGAGGUUAAAAGUACAUUUGGAGUCUGCCCUCAGAACAUUCUUAUUGGAAUCUUUCAAAAGUCAGAGUCCUGAGACUAUAAAGAAGAGGUUUGCAAGUGAGGAUAAAAUGAAACAAUUCAUUCAAGUCCAAACAAAACUGACAGUUAUGCAGAUGCCUUCAAGCAUAUGUUCAUUGCAUCAGCACUUCAUCAACAAUCCUGCAGGCAGAAUUGCUCAUCUGUUCCAGAACCAGGCCUAUAGCAAAGACGUCCCAACAGCAGUAAAAGAGUCAAGGAUUCUGCUUCACAAGUUAACACAACAUACCAUAGCAGAACACAAAAGAGGUUACUGUUGGGAUGGUCAAUGA
rnacentral:rRNA from 1 species